UUGAACGCUGGCGGCAGGCCUAACACAUGCAAGUCGAGCGGAAGAAGGGAGCUUGCUCCUGGAUACAGCGGCACAGGGGUGAGAAAUGCCUAGAAAUCUGCCUGGUAGGGGGGGAAAACGUCCGGAAACGGGCGCUAAUACCGCGUACGCCCUGAGGGAGAAAGUGGGGGCACUUCGCACUUCACGCCCUCAGAUCAUCCUAGGUCGGAUUAGCUAGUUGGUGGGGUAAAGGCCUACCAAGGCGACGAUCCGUAGCUGGUCUGAGAGGAUGAUCAGUCACACUGGAACUGAGACACGGUCCAGACUCCUACGGGAGGCAGCAGUGGGGAAUAUUGGACAAUGGGCGAAAGCCUGAUCCAGCCAUGCCGCGUGUGUGAAGAAGGUCUUCGGGUUGUAAAGCGCUUUUGGUUGGAACGAAAAGCAGUUAGUUAAUACCUUGCUGUGUUGACGUUACCAACAGAAUAAGCACCGGCUAACUUCGUG
rnacentral:rRNA from 1 species